AGAAAAGCACUUAAGCAUGCGUGAACACCCCCCCGGGCGGCAGCGUGCGGCGGAGGCUUUGCUGUCCCCGUCAGGAGCCAGGCAUCACGGCGAGGAGCCAGUGACCUUGCCGGUGAGAAAUGGAAACCUUCCUGGAACCAAGGACUUGCUCCUUCCUGCUGGGAUGACUGGAGGCCUGCAGGAUGUCACCCUGAGGCAGGACAUCUUUUCUCAGACAAACAGGUCUGGAGCUGGCUGUGGGCUGGUGGAGGAUGAUGCACUGGUGUGAUGCCUUCAUCGGGUCUCAGCUGGCCACCAGGGAGAUGGCCAGCUACUAGACCACAGUGACCAUGACGGUGGGGACCCUGCUUGGCCGCCAGCAUUGUGGAGGCCACGGUGGAGGCACCGGGAGCACCGAUCCGGUGCCGCCCAGUCUCUGUAUGCAGGGUAAGCUUGUAAUCUCCUGCUUAAAAGAUGGGAGGUAGCAUUACAAGCCGCUGCCUCUGCCGGGGUUUUCAGCUAUCGUGGGCUCAUCCUGCUUUAUCUGUUGCAUGUGAAAUAUCCCAUGUAAAGCUACGCAAAGCUGCAAAGCUACCGUAAUCCUUCCUAAAGCCACCCUGCCCUUCUGUGCGAAUAUUAUAUUAGAUGAUAUGCUUAUUAAACUCGCUCAGCAGAAGUUUUACUUCCAGCCGGUGGUGAUAGUCUUGAAAUGCCAUUAAGGUAAUAAUUAUAUCACGUUGUCCUUGAUCCAGAUCUUGGCUGGUAAUUGUUCACGCCUGCUGCCAGCUAUUUGAGUAAUAGU